rnacentral:rRNA from 1 species
GACGAACGCUGGCGGCGUGCUUAACACAUGCAAGUCGAACGGAAAGGCCCUGCUUUUGUGGGGUGCUCGAGUGGCGAACGGGUGAGUAACCCGUGAGUAACCUGCCCUUGACUUUGGGAUAACUUCAGGAAACUGGGGCUAAUACCGGAUAGGAGCUCCUGCUGCAUGGUGGGGGUUGGAAAGUUUCGGCGGUUGGGGAUGGACUCGCGGCUUAUCAGCUUGUUGGUGGGGUAGUGGCUUACCAAGGCUUUGACGGGUAGCCGGCCUGAGCGGGUGACCGGCCACAUUGGGGCUGAGAGACGGACCAGACUCCUACGGGAGGCAGCAGUGGGGAAUAUUGCACAAUGGGCGGAAGCCUGAUGCAGCAACGCCGCGUGCGGGAUGACGGCCUUCGGGUUGUAAACCGCUUUCGCCUGUGACGAAGCGUGAGUGACGGUAAUGGGUAAAGAAGCACCGGCUAACUACGUG